rnacentral:lncRNA from 1 species
UAAAAGAGCAUGCUUGCACACACGGGCACUCCACACUUGUAAAUAGAAGAGUGAUUGACUUGGUAGCGAGAGAGAUGAAAGUCGAGAACAUUAGCACAAUCUGAGGUAUUAAAAAUUGUCAAGGCAAUGACUUCAUAGUUUAUUCAUUCAUCACGUAGUUGCAUUCAUGCAUUGCAUAGUAUUAUUGUUAGUGUCGUUGACGCUUGAGGACAAGCAUCAGUUUAAGUUUGGG